CUCUCUGUGGUACAAGGGGUCAGUGCAUUCAACUGUAAAUCAGGAGAAUGGCGGUUCAAGUCCCCCCAGGGAAA
rnacentral:tRNA from 1 species